ACACAACACACGUGUUACGUUACUUUAUCACCGCAACUGCAACCAAUUAUUUUUCUCCAAAUAUCAACCAUUCAGAAAACCCACCGCCUUCAUCUUAUCUAUCAUCGGGUUCUUCCCGUUCUCUCAUACUAGAAUAUACUAUCAAUCAGAUUAGUUCUCUCCACAAGAGUUAGUUUGACCCUCCACCGAUCAACCGCCUUACCUAGAUACCUUCAUCAUUUAAAUCCAAUUUUGUUUGAUUUCCAAAUCGCUAUGACCUUUCUAUCUUUUGGAUAUGAUCGGUGACCACCGAUUCAAUUCGCAAAUUUAGCAGAUGGUCGGGACUGCGAUAAGUCACAACGAGUUCUUCCAAACACCACCACCAUUAUAGAUCGAUAACGACACGCGAUUGUCUUCAUCUUCGUCUUCGUAUCUUGGUUAGGAUUUCAGUCCGAGAUAAAGAAUCAAUUAACAGAGAUGGAGUUCACCUUUCACCUUCAUCGAAUUUCAGUUAGGAACAGAUUGUGUUUUGCACGUUUGAUUCCCGUUGUCACACUCUGUUGCGCUAAACUGUCAAGGUCCAGGUCAAUCAUUUUCUCUUCCCCAUGUGUCUUAUAUUGUUUUCAUUUGGGGUUUUAAAGGGUGUUUUUUAAUGGAUCACAUUCAUUUUCUGUCUUUUUGCUUUCAGAUUAGAUUAUAUGAAAAGUUGUUUGGGUGAAGAAAUCAUAUACAGAAGUGUCAUCUUUUACAAUGACUUUAUGAUGCAUAUUACAUGUUUGAUAAAAUGCUUGAGAGAGAAGGCAUCCACAUAAUUGUUAUUUACAAUUAUCAAAGCAGUCAAUUGGCUUUUCGUUUUCUACCCCAUCACUCCCCCAAAGUUUGGUGUUGAUGACAUAGUCGGCUUCUUCAGAUUAGAAGACAGUUGGGUUUCUUCUUAAUCCUUUUUUGUUAAUAGAAGUAUCAACUUAGAAGAUUGAUAAGAAAUUAUGUAUGAGGAAAUACACUGGUGAAUAGCAUGGAUUUUUUGCUUUUAGAUUGGAUUAUAUGAAAAGUUGUUUCGGUGAUUGUAUUUCACCUGACGUGCAUAUAUUAUGAUUUUAUCUUGCCUAACCUCUAUGUCAUGCAUUUUUUAAUGUUUUUAUUUCCAGCUAAGAAAAGAAGAAGCAGACAUCGAGGUGCCUAAAUCUUUCAAAAGAAUGAGGUCCUUGCUCCCAUUAAAAACGAAAUUGGUAUCUAGAAGCAUAAAUCUUCCAAAAAGGUCGUAAAAACACAUGAAAAUAAGAGUCCAUGCUUGACUAAAACUACAUGCUAAAUAAGAUAAUUAUGUACAACCGUCUAUUUCUAAAUUAAUCAUUAAGUAAAAAUAGAUAAAAAAAAUUUAGUUUUCUAAUUUAUUGUAAGAACAAAAUUCAUGGGAUUUUUCAAAUUCAGCAACCUAUUACCACAUACAACCAUGUGAAUGCCCAUGACUAUCAUCCCCAUCAAGAUUACCAUAAACAACCAUUUGACAGUUUUGUAACAUUUUUUCACUCAUUGUAGACACUGGAAUCCUUUUGUAUAACUACGGAAAUGCUUUUAAUAAAAUUUGAAUAAGAUUGAAGCAGUUCUGGAAUGUUUGAAACACAAGGGUAUUUUGGUCCAAAAUAACAAAAAUAAUAAAUUUUUUUUCAAACUUUUUUUUUCCAGUAAAUGAGUAACAUGGACGAUUUUUUUUGUUGAGACAUUAACUCAUACAGUAAUGCUGAUAUAUUUGUGUAUGUUGUUUUCAUGUAUGUUUAGUCUUUUACUAAAAUUUGAUUUAAAAAAAAAUAAAAGAGUAACAGGGAUGAUUCCUCUUAAUUUUUCAUGUAAUGUUAUUUUAUUUUUCUUUUUUUUUUCACUAAAAGAGUAACAGUUAAGGAUUUAUGUAAGAAGGUAUUAAACAACUUUUCUUUUUUAUUGAUAAAAGUUUUUAAAGUUGCAAAAUAUGAUCAGGGGUGUUCUAUGUAAAAUUAUAAUAUAUGAUUGAGGUUAGCAGGAUUUAUAUGUGUACUCAACAUGAUUAAUCAUAGAAUCCAUAACCCUAUUUUUUUUAAGGUCGCUUAAAAACCAACUUCUCUUCCAUUCUAAUGUUAUUAUAUUUGUUUGUCAUUAUAUGAGGCAGUUGAAAAGGCUAGAUUUUGUAUAGGUUAAUAAGAAAAAACUUGGAAGUUAUUAACUAAAAGUAAAAUGGUAUGAUAAAAAAAAUGAAACUACAAUUUUAGUUAUUGCAUGCUGCCCUGGUACGGUAGGAUUAAUAUACGUGUAGAUGUAUUUACUAAAAAGGAAAAUAAGGAUUUUAUUAUUUAUAGGUGGUUUUUAUUUGUUUUGCUUUCAAUGGCCAUGUAAUUGUAAGUUGUGAUGGAUGUUGGUGGCUAUCAUUCAUUAAUCAUUUUGUUUCUUAAAAAGGUAGGAUGUUAUAACAACCGGAAAACUAGGCUGCUACUAAAGGAUUUACUCAUGGAAAGUAGGUCAUGUACAAUGUUCUAUAGAAAAGGGACUAUGUAAUGCUGACCUUAUGUUUCUCAAAAGUGCUAGAAGCAUUGAUCAAGAAUUUCAAUCCGCUCCUUUUGAGAAAAGCGUAUCUAUGUGUAACCAAAAACGGUGUCGAUAUAUAUAUAUAUAUAUAUAUAUAUAUAUAUAUAUAUAUAUAUAUAUAUAUAUAUAUAUAUAUAUUUAUUAAAAACUUUGACUUACUAUAAGAAAAAAAUUUCCUUGCCAUUGUACUUUGACUAUUAUGCAUUUAUAAAUGGAUGAAUUGCAGAGAAUA